CGAACGGGUGAGUAACACGUGAGCAACCUGCCCUUGACUUUGGGAUACCAGCUGGAAACAGCUGCUAAUACCGGAUAUGACCUUCUUACGCAUGUUUGGGGGUGGAAAGCUCCGGCGGUCAGGGAUGGGCUCGCGGCCUAUCAGCUUGUUGGUGAGGUAAUGGCUCACCAAGGCUUCGACGGGUAGCCGGCCUGAGAGGGCGACCGGCCACACUGGGACUGAGAUACGGCCCAG
rnacentral:rRNA from 1 species